rnacentral:misc_RNA from 1 species
CAGAUCAGCUCUCAUGACAACAGCAACCAUUUCUAAUAACAUGGAAAAGCCAUUGACAAACACCUCAGGUUACCCGGCAAGUCCACAUGAAGCUGGUGUAGGAGAAAUCAGCCCAGCCAGAGCUCUUGAUCCAGGCCUAGUCUUCGAAACCACAGAAGAAGAUUACUUGAAUUUCCUUUGUUACUAUGGAUACUCAGAGACAAAAGUAAAGAAAAUGACAAAGACAAAAUUCAAAUGCCCGAAGGGAUCAAGCAAAGAGCUCAUUACAAGUAGCAUCAACCACCCAUCAAUCUCCAUAGGCAUGCUUGAUCAAAAGCACCCUGCCCAGAUCAUUAGAAGGAAGAUGACAAAUGUUGGGUCCACAAAUGCCUCGUAUUAUUCCAGAGUGUAUGCUUCCAGGGGAUUAACGGUGAAUGUUUCUCCGAAGAAAAUUAGUUUCAAUGAGAGUAAGAGAAAGGCUUGGUUUAGAGUGUUGUUUGAUGGUAGGAAAGCUCCCAAGGGUUAUCAUUUCGGAUAUGUAAUGUGGUCUGACGGCCAUCAUAGAGCUCGUAUCGUUUUUGCUGUUAAUGUUCACUAAAAUGCCGUUUAAGGAAAUGGAAAUAGAGGAAAUAAAUAUCAGAGUUUGGC